rnacentral:rRNA from 1 species
AUGAACGCUAGCUACAGGCUUAACACCUGCAAGUCGAGGGGAAACGACAUCGAAAGCUUGCUUUUGAUGGGCGUCGACCGGCGCACGGGUGAGUAACGCGUAUCCAACCUGCCCAUCACUUGGGAAUAACCUUGCGAAAGUAAGGCUAAUACCCAAUGAUAUCCCACGAAGGCAUCGGAAUGGGAUUAAAGAUUUAUCGGUGAUGGAUGGGGAUGCGUCUGAUUAGCUUGUUGGCGGGGUAACGGCCCACCAAGGCAACGAUCAGUAGGGGUUCUGAGAGGAAGGUCCCCCACAUUGGAACUGAGACACGGUCCAAACUCCUACGGGAGGCAGCAGUGAGGAAUAUUGGUCAAUGGGCGAGAGCCUGAACCAGCCAAGUAGCGUGCAGGAAGACGGCCCUAUGGGUUGUAAACUGCUUUUAUAAGGGAAUAAAGUGGGUCACGUGUGACUUUUUGCAUGUACCUUAUGAAUAAGGACCGGCUAAUUCCGUG